rnacentral:rRNA from 1 species
AGAACGAACGCUGGCGGCAGGCUUAACACAUGCAAGUCGAACGCUCGUAGCAAUACGGGAGUGGCAGACGGGUGAGUAACGCGUGGGAACAUACCCUCCGGUUCGGAAUAGCUCAGGGAAACUUGGAUUAAUACCGGAUACGGCUGAGAGGCGAAAGAUUUAUCGCCGGAGGAUUGGCCCGCGUUCGAUUAGCUUGUUGGUGAGGUAACGGCUCACCAAGGCGAUGAUCGAUAGCUGGUCUGAGAGGAUGAUCAGCCACAUUGGGACUGAGACACGGCCCAAACUCCUACGGGAGGCAGCAGUGGGGAAUAUUGGACAAUGGGCGCAAGCCUGAUCCAGCCAUGCCGCGUGAGUGAUGACGGCCUUAGGGUUGUAAAGCCUUUCGGCGGGAAGAUAAUGACGGUACCGCAGAAGAAGCCCCGGCUAACUUCGUGCCAGCAGCCGC